rfam:TPA: Bos taurus chromosome 3, whole genome shotgun sequence.
UCUCAUAGCUCAGUUGGUAAACAAUCUGCCUGCAAUGCAGAAGACUCAGGUUCAAUUCCUGGGAUGAGAA